rnacentral:rRNA from 1 species
AUUGAACGCUGGCGGCAUGCCUAACACAUGCAAGUCGAACGGUAACAGGGGCUUCGGCCCGCUGACGAGUGGCGGACGGGUGAGUAACGCGUAGGAAUCCUCCCAGUAGCGGGGAUAGCUCGGCGAAAGCCGGAUUAAUACCGCAUACGCCCCGACGGGGGAAAGCAGGGGAUCGUAAGACCUUGCACUAUUGGAUGAGCCUACGUCUGAUUAGCUAGUUGGUAGGUAAAGCCUACCAAGGCGACGAUCAGUAGCUGGUCUGAGAGGACGAUCAGCCACACUGGGACUGAGACACGGCCCAGACUCCUACGGGAGGCAGCAGUGGGGAAUAUUGGACAA